UUAAGACAAUCCAAACUGCUCUUCGUCUAGGACUGUUCAAGCCGCCGAGGCACUAUGAAACUUUCGUCUCUACAUCUUCCAUUCAUUCUUAUCCCAAUUCGCAUGUAAAGAUUUGUGAUCUAUUUUGAUUCUUUGAAACGUUUCAAACAUAGAAGGGCCGCCAGCCAGAUCUAAAAUUUCAGCCACUAGCCGUUGUCAGUCUCGCAAUUUCCGAUCAGAUUCAUCUAAUCUAACUCGUGCUCUACCUUGGAUACAUUAGUUUUUUGAAGUUUGUGAGAUCAAUUACUAUUGUGAAGAAUCUUGUCUUAGAGAAAGCAUGGAACACUUCAUCAGGAAAACACAUGGAUGCUUGAAGCUUUGAAUUACUGGUGUUGAAGUUUUUUAGGAAAAAGUUAUGAUUAUGUAAUUGUAGUUGCAUGUUGAUGUAAUUGUUGUUUUAUUUUAAUUAUCUAUGGUGUUACUGGCGUGUGGUUAUAUGCCUUUUGGAAAGUUUUGAA